rnacentral:rRNA from 1 species
UGAGGAAGAUAAUGACGGUACUCAACAAGGAAGUGACGGCUAACUACGUGCCAGCAGCCGCGGUAAAACGUAGGUCACAAGCGUUGUCCGGAAUUACUGGGUGUAAAGGGAGCGCAGGCGGGAGAACAAGUUGGAAGUGAAAUCCAUGGGCUCAACCCAUGAACUGCUUUCAAAACUGUUUUUCUUGAGUAGUGCAGAGGUAGGCGGAAUUCCCGGUGUAGCGGUGGAAUGCGUAGAUAUCGGGAGGAACACCAGUGGCGAAGGCGGCCUACUGGGCACCAACUGACGCUGAGGCUCGAAAGUGUGGGUAGCAAACAGGAUUAGAUACCCUGGUAGUCCACACCGUAAACGAUGAUUACUAGGUGUUGGAGGAUUGACCCCUUCAGUGCCGCAGUUAACACAAUAAGUAAUCCACCUGGGGAGUACGACCGCAAGGUUGAAACUCAAAGGAAUUGACGGGGGCCCGCACAAGCAGUGGAGUAUGUGGUUUAAUUCGACGCAACGCGAAGAACCUUACCAAGUCUUGACAUCCUGCGACGCACAUAGAAAUAUGUGUUUCCUUCGGGACGCAGAGACAGGUGGUGCAUGGUUGUCGUCAGCUCGUGUCGUGAGAUGUUGGGUUAAGUCCCGCAACGAGCGCAACCCUUAUGGUCAGUUACUACGCAAGAGGACUCUGGCCGGACUG